AAUUCGCGUCCUCUGUUAGAUUAAAGUUUGCUUACCAUGCUAAAUAAUAUCGAUUUAGCUAAAAAAUUGCCUACGUCAAAUUCUGUAAAUUAAA